rnacentral:rRNA from 1 species
UAAUAACGUCGCAAGACCAAAGAGGGGGACCUUCGGGCCUCUUGCCAUCAGAUGUGCCCAGAUGGGAUUAGCUUGUUGGUGAGGUAACGGCUCACCAAGGCGACGAUCCCUAGCUGGUCUGAGAGGAUGACCAGCCACACUGGAACUGAGACACGGUCCAGACUCCUACGGGAGGCAGCAGUGGGGAAUAUUGCACAAUGGGCGCAAGCCUGAUGCAGCCAUGCCGCGUGUAUGAAGAAGGCCUUCGGGUUGUAAAGUACUUUCAGCGGGGAGGAAGGUGUUGUGGUUAAUAACCGCAGCAAUUGACGUUACCCGCAGAAGAAGCACCGGCUAACUCCGUGCCAGCAGCCGCGGUAAUACGGAGGGUGCAAGCGUUAAUCGGAAUUACUGGGCGUAAAGCGCACGCAGGCGGUCUGUCAAGUCGGAUGUGAAAUCCCCGGGCUCAACCUGGGAACUGCAUUCGAAACUGGCAGGCUUGAGUCUUGUAGAGGGGGGUAGAAUUCCAGGUGUAGCGGUGAAAUGCGUAGAGAUCUGGAGGAAUACCGGUGGCGAAGGCGGCC